rnacentral:rRNA from 1 species
UACGUAGGGGGCAAGCGUUGUCCGGAAUCAUUGGGCGUAAAGAGCGUGUAGGCGGCUUGGUAAGUCUGCUGUGAAAGUCCAGGGCUCAACCCUGGAAUGCCGGUGGAAACUGUCAAGCUAGAGUCCGGAAGAGGCGAGUGGAAUUCCUGGUGUAGCGGUGAAAUGCGCAGAUAUCAGGAGGAACACCAAUGGCGAAGGCAGCUCGCUGGGACGGUACUGACGCUGAGACGCGAAAGCGUGGGGAGCAAACAGG